AACGAACGCUGGCGGCAGGCUUAACACAUGCAAGUCGAACGGGCGUAGCAAUACGUCAGUGGCGGACGGGUGAGUAACACGUGGGAAUAUGCCUUUCGGUUCGGAACAACUCGGGGAAACCCGUGCUAAUUCCGGAUACGCCCUUACGGGGAAAGAUUUAUCGCCGAAAGAUUAGCCCGCGUUGGAUUAGCUAGUUGGUGAGGUAAAGGCUCACCAAGGCGACGAUCCAUAGCUGGUUUGAGAGAACGACCAGCCACACUGGGACUGAGACACGGCCCAGACUCCUACGGGAGGCAGCAGUGGGGAAUAUUGGACAAUGGGGGAACCCUGAUCCAGCGAUGCCGCGUGUGCGAAGAAGGCCUGCGGGUUGUAAAGCACUUUAGUU
rnacentral:rRNA from 1 species